rnacentral:lncRNA from 1 species
CUUUUGGGACUUGGCUCUUCUUCUUCUCCAUCCUCAAUCUGGCUGUCUUUGCCUUAGAGACUUUCUUCUAUUAACUUCUCAUUUCUGACUCCAGCAAUGUAUGGGUCUGCAGAAGAGCUCACGAUAUGGAAGCACUAUUAGACCAUGAGAGUGCAAACCGAGUUUGCUCAAGUCCUUUCCAGAGCUGCUGGUGUCUGGUACUUUGGAAGCAUCCAGACACCUGGACCUAAUGCAGACCCUAGAGAUCCCUUUAGCACCAGGAUGAGAAUGCUAUGGUCAACCCCUGGGACUCAAGAGCAAGGUAGGGUUGGAAUUUUUCCCAUGAGGUAACUAGAACACCCACAUGG